CACCUGGAUCACCCAUUUGACUUGGAUGAGCUGGGCAAAGCUAUUAAAGAAAUGGCAGCAGAGAAGGCACCGGGCCCGGACGGUUUCAUUGGGAUUUUCUUCAAAAGAUGUUGGCACACGAUUAAGGUGGAUUUGCUGAAUGCCCUUAACCAGCUCUCUGCCCUUGAUGCUAGAAACUGGAACCUGUUGAACUCUGCAUUCAUUGUCCUAAUCCCGAAGAAAGAAAAUGCUCUACGCGCUGCUGAUUAUCGCCCAAUAAGUCUUUCCCAUAGUGUUGCUAAGAUCCUGGGAAAACUCGUUGCCAAUAGACUGGCGCCAACUAUGCAGCAUCUAAUAUCUAUGAGCCAAAGUGCCUUCCUCAAAGGAAGAUCGAUCCAAGACAAUUUUCUGUAUGUUCAAAAUCUCGUCCAGAGUUUACAUAGAGCCAAGAAAGGGGCAAUCUUCCUGAAGCUGGAUAUUGCGAAGGCA
rnacentral:rRNA from 1 species